rnacentral:rRNA from 1 species
CACGUAGGGUGCGAGCGUUGUCCGGAAUUAUUGGGCGUAAAGAGCUCGUAGGCGGUGUGUCGCGUCGGCCGUGAAAACCUGCAGCUUAACCGUGGGCGUGCGGUCGAUACGGGCAUCACUGGAGUUCGGCAGGGGAGACUGGAAUUCCUGGUGUAGCGGUGAAAUGCGCAGAUAUCAGGAGGAACACCGGUGGCGAAGGCGGGUCUCUGGGCAUUAACUGACGCUGAGGAGCGAAAGCAUGGGGAGCGAACAGG